UACGUAGGUGGCAAGCGUUGUCCGGAAUUAUUGGGCGUAAAGCGCGCGCAGGCGGUUUCUUAAGUCUGAUGUGAAAGCCCACGGCUCAACCGUGGAGGGUCAUUGGAAACUGGGGAACUUGAGUGCAGAAGAGGAAAGUGGAAUUCCAAGUGUAGCGGUGAAAUGCGUAGAGAUUUGGAGGAACACCAGUGGCGAAGGCGGUCUGCUGGGCAGUUGCUGACGCUGAUGCGCGACAGCGUGGGGAGCAAACAGG
rnacentral:rRNA from 1 species